AUCAACAAAGUGGAAGGAAAAGGAAUAAAAGAAAAAAAAAACAAAACAUAAGGAGAAUUUAUAGAUUAACAGAAGCUUAAGAGAAAUAUCAGCCAAUUACAACAUAUGGACUUUGGAUUCUGAUUCUUGCGAACAAACUACACUACAGUGACAAUAAAAAUGAGACGUAUUCAUGAGACAAUUGGGGAAAUUUGAACACUGAAUGGAUACUUAACAUCAAGGAAUUGUUUUUAAUUUUUGAGCAAUGUGAAAAUCGUGUUUGGGAUUAUGCUUUAAAAGAGUCCUAAUUGUUGAGGGAUUCAUACAGAAACAUUUAUCGAUGAAUUAAUGAGGCCAGGCACAGUGGCUCAUGCUUGUAAUCCCAGCACUUUGGGAGGCCGAGGCAGGCAGAUCACCUGAGGCCAAGAAUUAAAGACCAGCUUGGUCAACACGGCAAAACCUCAUCUCUACCAAAAAUACAAAAAUUAGCCGGGCAUGGUAGCACACUCCUGUAGUCCCAGCUACUCGGGAGGCCGAGGCAUGAGAAUUGCUUGAACCCGGAUGAAGCCUGUUCCCAGCUACUCGGGAGGCUGAGGCAUGAGAACUGCUUGAAUCCAGAUGGAGGAAGUUGCAGUGAGUGGAGAUCGCGCCACUGCACUCCAGCCUGGGCGACAGAGCAAGACUGUCUCAAAUAAUAAUAAUAAUAAUAAAGAUGUCUGGGAUGUGCUUUAAAAUAAUUCAUUGCAGAGAGAAGAAGGAAGUAAAAGUUUGGAUGAAACAAGGAGGCAGCACCCAGGGUCAUUCCUGGAGCAUAAACGAUCCCUGCAGAACAUGGGCUAGAAGACCCCACAGUGGGGCAGAGGCAGGUCCUGGACUGGGAUCCCAGCAGUGAGAAGACCUGGACAUCAACCCUAUUUCAUUGUGCCUCUGCAAAUCUCCCAACUUUUGGAGCUGUAGCUGCAAGCUCAGACUUGUGGUUUCCUGUACCUGGAGGAGGCCCAGGUCAUUCUGUUAAGUCCCUUGUCUAUUUCCUGCUUUUAUCUGGAUGCUGAGUUAAUUAUUUGAUCCAACAAUAAAACUAACAAGGUUUU
rnacentral:lncRNA from 1 species